GGGGAUAACUACUGGAAACGGUAGCUAAUACCGCAUAACGUCGCAAGACCAAAGAGGGGGACCUUCGGGCCUCUUGCCAUCGGAUGUGCCCAGAUGGGAUUAGCUUGUUGGUGGGGUAACGGCUCACCAAGGCGACGAUCCCUAGCUGGUCUGAGAGGAUGACCAGCCACACUGGAACUGAGACACGGUCCAGACUCCUACGGGAGGCAGCAGUGGGGAAUAUUGCACAAUGGGCGCAAGCCUGAUGCAGCCAUGCCGCGUGUAUGAAGAAGGCCUUCGGGUUGUAAGGUACUUUCAGCGGGGAGGAAGGGAGUAAAGUUAAUACCUUUACUCAUUGACGUUACCCGCAGAAGAAGCACCGGCUAACUCCGUGCCAGCAGCCGCGGUAAUACGGAGGGUGCAAGCGUUAAUCGGAAUUACUGGGCGUAAAGCGCACGCAGGCGGUUUGUUAAGUCAGAUGUGAAAUCCCCGGGCUCAACCUGGGAACUGCAUCUGAUACUGGCAAGCUUGAGUCUCGUAGAGGGGGGUAGAAUUCCAGGUGUAGCGGUGAAAUGCGUAGAGAUCUGGAGGAAUACCGGUGGCGAAGGCGGCCCCCUGGACGAAGACUGACGCUCAGGUGCGAAAGCGUGGGGAGCAAACAGGAUUAGAUACCCU
rnacentral:rRNA from 1 species